UACGAAGGGGGGCUAGCGUUGCUCGGAAUCACUGGGCUUAAAGGGCGCGUAGGCGGCUGCCAAGUUUGGGGUGAAAUCCUCCGGCUCAACCGGGAGGGUGCGCCGAAUACUGAGUGACUAGAGUGCGGGAGAGGAAAGUGGAAUUCCUGGUGUAGCGGUGAAAUGCGUAGAUAUCAGGGAGGAACACCGGUGGUGUAGACGGCUUUCUGGACCGUAACUGACGCUGAGACACGAAAGCGUGGGUAGCAAACAGG
rnacentral:rRNA from 1 species